UUAUGGCAGAAGAUUGAUAAAGUAUCAAAUCUUUAUGUAAGACAUUAUGCAUCGUGUCCCAUACGCUUUGGGUAUAGGAACGAUUGCAAGUGCUAUAAUAUUCGACCAUUCUAAGAUUUUCCAAAUGUCUAGCGCAUUUAGAGGGAAAAAGGACAAGAAUCGGUUUUGACUAAGAUAAUUAAACAACUAUCAAAGGACAAUCCAAAGUUCGCCGAGGAUUGGUCGCUUGUGAGUAGUUGGAAGUAUAAUAUUGGAUGGACCAUAUCGACAUUAUUAUAAAUAGAAAAGAUUCUAUUAAGAAUGAGUUGUCAUAUGGAAAAUAUGGAAACGUGUCCAUAUUGGGAAUUGAAUAUUGAAAAUCUAUGUCUAGAUUAGAAACUUUUAUGCAAAAGGAUGUUCAAAGGAAUGUACUUUGAGUGAGAAACAUCAUAUCUAAGGAAUUGUCUUGUAACAAUCUCCGAUAGAGGACUUUGUAAUUUCAUUGGCAAUAGUCAUUGUGACUUUUGUGCUAUGACAUUACGAAAGGAUCAUUGCAUAAAAUGUUAGAAUCUAACAUAUUCUAUAAGUGGCAAGAAUUUGAUAUUCUUUCACUUAUGAAAAGGAUUAGGAGUUGUGAAAUGAGUAUGAUUGGAAAUGUGUUCAUUUGAUCUAUUUCACAAAGUAAGAACCAUAGGUAAAUAUUGUGUGCAUGCUAAGAGCAUGGAACAAGCGUUGUAAUAAUUCAAGUAAGAAGUUGAUUACCCGAAACAACAAAUAAUGAGUAAUCGAUAUGGUGAUAAAUAAAAGGUGUUUUAUUUAUACUCAAAGGUUUGAGGCCAUAUGGGAUUAGUAUUAUUCUUGUGUUUCACUUUGCAUGUUUUGACUUCCUGAAUAAUUUAAUUGGUUUAGAACAGUCAAAUUAUUCGAACGGGCCACAGUCGUUCAUAUGUUGGAAGUAGGUAUGAAUAAAGACUGUCGUGAAUUGGUGUGUGGAUUGUCUAAAGAGUAUUAGACAUAAGCAAAUGUUUGCUGCAACGUUCAUGAGUGCUUAUGAAUAUGAUUUGAGCAUUGGAUUAAACCCACGCUCACUUGGAUCACUCCAUGAAUUGUAUCACGAGUGAUUGGUGAGACGAUAACAUCUUAUAUUCUUGAAACCGAGAUGUGUGAGUUGUAUCUUGCAAAUCGGUUGCACAUUGAUAAUAUGUAAACGCACUAGUAACUUGGUGUUAUAAAACAUAUUGUUGUGUGUGAUUCGGUGAGUGAGUGCAAGCAAGCAUUGUAUCAAAGUUUAUCCGUUCCUUUUAUCCAAAGUAGGAUAAAAGCGAUAUCUUUGGGCCCCUCGAUGAUUUAGUGAUGGCACCUAAGCGCUUGGCCAAGCCGGGACUAAAUUGAUGUGUUCAAUUGUAGCCUGUUGUCAGUCAUCAUAAAUAGGAAGUCGGGAAAUAGUAUAGAGAGAAUGAUUAAGUUCAUGUCUCAUAUCUAUACGAUAUCUAGAAUGGAGGAAUAUAUGAUCCCUUAUCUAAAGGACACGCGUAUCCGAUAAGAUCAGAGUUGACAAUGGCUUUAGAAAGCUACGACUGCAGAUCAGGAUCUGAAAUCAUACACAUAAUAGUUUUUAGACUUAUCCAAGUGGGAGAUUGUUGGAUUAGUGUCUAAGUCCAUAACUAUUUUGGUAUGUACUUGACCCGAUGGUGCAUGGUCCUUUUGGGUUGCCUUCACCAAAGCAACUUGAUAGGAUGAAUUAUGGAGAGAAAGGAUUAAAUAUGAUUUAUUAAUAUAUUAUGAGAAUAAUAUAUUAAAGGAGAAAUCAUAUUGUUUAAUUAAUAUUAGUCAAGAAUUAAUUGGUAAUUAGUUUUGUGACUAAAAGAGAUUAAUUAAACUUAAGGGACUGGAAUUGUAAUUAUAAGAUAAUUGCAAUUUGGGCCAUGGAUUGCCUUAUAUUAAGGAGUGGACGAAUUCUAUGGGGAAGCCCAUAAGAAAUCGUCCAAGGCCUUAAGGAAAGGGAUCCAUGGGUUGCUUAGGGCUUAAGCAUCCAAAUUAGGGUUUCCUUGUUAGAUAACCCUAAUAGCCUCACUAUAUAUAGAACCCUUAAGGCUCAAAAACGUGGGGAACUUCUCUUCUAGGGUUAGAACACGUUUUGGGCAGCCUCCAUCCUCUCUCCUCUUCAUCCUCUUGCUUAUGGUGUUUGUGAACCAUUAGAGGAGUGACAUUUGUGACUCUAAGCUUUCUAAAGUCAAUACAAGGAGAUUUGGGAUUGUUAUUGCUACAUAACAAUCAAGGUAACAUCUUAAACCUAUUCUCAUGUUAAUAUGAUUACUUGAAUGCUAGAAUUAGGGUUUAUAGUCUUGGAUAACUUGCAUGUACAAUAGAGAAACCUAGAUCCAAGCAUUAGGGUUUGUAUGAGCACAUAGGAUGUUCUUAUGACCAAAACCCAUCAGUGGUAUCAGAGCCUUGAUUGGUUUCUAUUGUAUUGAUGCCUUGUAUGUUUAUUCAAGUUGAAAAAUUCGAUUUUUGUGAAACUGCCUGAUGAACUCGGCGAGUCCCAUAGUGGACUCGGCGAGUAGGCCCCUACUCGGCGAGUCCAUAUGGGUACUCGGCGAGUUCGAGCGUCAGAAAGAGGGGAUUUCGGGAUUUCUUGCUGUUUUUCUCAUGGAUACUUGCCUUAUCUGUUUUAGAUCAUUAAAAUCCGAUUUUAUUCAUAUUUUUGAGUAUAUCCUUGAUUAAACAAAAGAUAAUUACCAAUUGAUUAGAUAAUAACUUCCUUAUAUGAUUAAAGUUGAUUAUUUGUAUUAAUUGGGUAACUUAUUUUGCAAGAAAUUGAAAUUAGGUCAAAUAUAGAUAAUGAUGAAAUUAAUUGUUUAAUUUAUAUUAUUUGUUAUUUGAUCCUUGUGUUAUGAAAAGUUUCAAAUUUUCCCCUUUAGGUUUUAUAGUUUAAAUUUGAACUCAAAAGUUUAGUUUUGAAAUUUAAAUAGUUGAAACCCUAAUGUUUUGAAAAGGUUUCAAAACUUGCCCUCAAGUUUUGGAAUUUAAAUUUUGAUUAAAAGUUUAAUUUUGAUGUAUAUUUAAAUUCUAAACCCUAAUGUUUUGAAAUGUUUCAAAACUUGCCCUCAAGUUUUGGAAUUUAAAAGUUGAUUAAAAGUUUAAUUUAGGAAUGUUAAAUUCUAAAACCCUAGUAUUGUUUUGAAAAGUUCAAAUCACACCCUUAUGGUUUUAUUAAUUAAUUAAGGUGUAUAAUUAAAAGAGGUUUAAUAAAUCCAUAAAAGUUUUGGUUUACAAUUUAAUUGAAUUAAAAGUAUAAUUGUUAAAUUUGACCACCUAGUAUUUUAAAAGUGUAAAAUACACCCUAUACUAUAUAUAACAUUAAAAGUCUAACAUUAUAUAUAUGUAUGAGUAAAAGUCAGUCUUACCGUUAGUAGGCCUCAUUCACGAAGCUGGUCUAUAAGGGGUGUUUAAGGAAAUUGCCUAUAAAAUGGCGAUUGAAUGGGUAUCCACUCUUACCCACCGCACUCUUGACUAGUGGAGGGUCGUUAGCCGAACGGGUAGGAUAGGACAAAACCUUCCAUUAUAAGUAUAAUGAAGUACAAAAGUAACUAAAUGUUUUACAAAUUCCCAAUCUUAGUUACUUAGGCAAAAGUGAAUUGAUGCAAUUCCAUGAAAUUACACUUUGUGCCCUUGCGAAGACGUUAGUGGAGCGUGUGUGGUUUACCGGCACACUAAAUGGUUCUAAGCAAAGGUAGCAAAGGGUGACUCAAUGUUUGUCAUAGUUCGGUGGAGCGUGUGUGGUUUACCGGCACAUCGAAUAGGUGACUGUAACAUGUGAGGGCACCAUGUAAGUUUGCAUGGUUAUUCACACCCGCUUUGUGAUCCUCGGCAUCCCAGUCACAAACAAGAGGGGCAUAUCGAGAUUUAAACAUGCCAUUGAAAGUUCAAUGAAUCUCAAAGGAUCUAGGAGUUUUCAUAGAUUUAAAACUUAAAUUUCUUUUUCGUUUUUCAUGGUGGAAAUUAGUGAAUCGUCAUUCACUUACCUUCAAAUAUUCUGCAAUUAGGGUUACGGCAUCCCUCUCCCGAGUUGUAGAAUAUUGUGUUGGGUCCUAGCCUUAGUAUCUCAUUUGGGUGAUUUACUAAGGACUCAAUCAAUCAACUAACUUGAAUUCGUUUUCUCCCGUUUUGUAGAUGUCAAAGUUCGACAACUAUGGUCUUCCCAAAUCCCGUGGAACAAGCAUUCCACAUGAAGAUGAUAUUCCACGAUUCGAUCGAGGAACAAGAAAUCAUGCUUCACUUCCUCCUCCUCCUCCAAUUAUUCUCCCUAACCCACAAGUUCAAAGGCUUGAAAAGUUCAAGAUCACUCAAGCCCUUUUGGCAAGUAAACAUAAAGAAGGAAAGUCGGUGUGUGCACACGUCCUAGGGAUGAAGUCACACAUUGAUAGGUUAAGAAUGUUGGGAUCCGUUGUCUGUGAGGAAAUGGCUGUUGAUUGGGUUCUUCAGUCACUUCCUAACUCAUAUAGUGAGUUCGUAAGAGAGUACUAUAUGAUGAACCGCGACGUGACCCUUAUAGAUCUCACCUAUAUGCUUAUUGCUGCUGAAUCAGCAAUGGUUUGGCGCAAUAGAAAAGCAAAGUUGAUUGGUGAAUCUGCCUUCAAGACCUCUAUGGAUAUAGACAAUGGCAACGAAAGACAUGCUAUGAUCGAAAAGUUUGAUCAUAAGAGAAAGGCAAUGUCUGAAGUAGUUCCAUGUCAUGUUCCAAAAGAGUCAAUUUGCUUUUAUUGCCAAGAGAAAGGGCAUUGGAGACGAAGCUGCCCCAUUUACCUAAGAGAUCUAAGAGAUGGGAGAGUCGAAACGUAUGGCUCUAAUAUAGGUAAAAUCCAUUAACUAACUCUUUUAAGCUUCUAUUCUAGAUUCUUAAUACAUAAUGUGAUAAGAUUACAAUUGAUGUUUUGUAGGAUCGAAGAAAAGAAAGGAAGCUUAAGGGAAGAAGUGAGCAGAAUCUAACCGUGAAGGAAUGGAUUUCGAUCGCAUUUCUCGAAGAUUAGAUUCUUGAGCUACUACUUAGAGUUAGAAUUAGAUUGCUAAGAAAGAUGUAUUAGCAUAGUUUUUCAAUGAAUUGCAUUGUAAGGACAAAUUUUUUCCGCAAUAAAAUAAAUUUUGAUUUUAUAUUAUUUAUUUAUCCUUGCAAUGGCGUAUAUGAAAAAUUGAUGUUUGAAUGUUUCUAUUAUUAGCAAUAAUGGAUUUGGUUCUUAUUAUGUUAUUUAUGGAAAGUCGAGAGUUUACCAAAUAGGGAGAGUUUCUCAUCGCCCAAGUUUCAAUUGGACAGAAACUUGGAAUCAUGCAACUUGGUUGCACGAUGAAUGAGAAAUUUCAUAUUUGGAAAUUAGACUAAUUCAUUGACAAAGUGUCAAGUGAAGGACUAGGAGAUCGAGUACACAAAGUUGCGUGUUGAUCAAGUCCACCAUAAGAGUAACAAAGAUAUUCGUCAUGAUUUACUAAAGGUUUAGUAAAUAUGAUUAUACUUACAAGAUUAAGUGUAAUUCUGAAUUGAUUGAAAAAGUUUAAAUCAAUAGCAGAACGAAUAAGAAGAAUCAAGUAGGCAGAAAGAUAAAAGUUUCUCCAUUCUAAGAAGAAGGGAGAGUACCUUUUAUGCUUUAUGAUAGGUCUUAAUGAUUAAGAACCAUAUCUCAAUUGAUCCUCUAAGUGAGUCUUAGUACAAUUGUAUGUCUAAGAAGAGGAAUCAAGAAUUGAAGAAAUGGUUAAAUCAAGAAGUCAAUCAUACUUCGUUCCAAAACAAGUCUUAGAGUUAAGAUUGUGACAUUGAGUGAAAAGUAUUAAGAAGGUUUAUAACAUUCAUCAAAUGUGGAAAGUUGUGAUGUCUUGGAUAAGACAAAGACCAACUAGGACCAAUUUAUGAAGUGUUUUGAUAAAAGCUACACUAACUCUUGAAUAUUUGUUUGUCAAGAAAUGUUUAUUGACAAGAGAAUCUUAUAUGUCAAGGAGUCAGUGGGAGUCUUAAUGGUCUUGAAAGGUUUCAAGAACAAAUCAAAUAAACCUUAUCGAUCAUCACUAGCACACGAGUUGAGGUUUACAACCUAUCGUGUUGACAUUAUUUUGUUUCUGUGCCAAUCCAAUCGAGUUAAUUAUGCAUGUGAGUUCUAUGAGUUCUCAUUUGAAUGCAUAAAAGGCAAGGACCUUGAUCAAUGGAAAGUACAUUGAUAAGAAAAGGUGAGCUGCUUAACUACUUGGAAGACAUGGUGGGCAGCUGUGCUACCAUAAGGCAAGAAAUCAAGAUUAAGAAAGUUCGGUCCAUAUGAGUUUGAAUUUGUCGUAAACUUUGGUUUUAACAAAUUCACAUGGAUAGGAACACAUACACCGUUUAAAUCUAAGUGUCAUAAGAUUUCCUCCUUCAUGAAAAUGAUUGUGAGGAAAUGCUUUCACUAAGAAAGAUUUUAAGAAGAUAGUGAUUGUAAAAUUGCAUUCUCGAAUUCAAUUAUGGUUACGGUAUCCCUUUCCAUAAUUUGAAUUGUGAGGUUUGGCAAUUAGUCUUAAUUGUUUAGACACACAUAUGAACUAUCGAAGGCAAAGGUGUAUAAGUUCAAGAAGCCUUGAUAAAAGAUUAUCAAAGCACUAAGUAUUAGAAACAUGAACUUAAGAAAUUCAAUAAGUAUUGUUUUUCUGAAAGUUAAGAUGUUUAUGAAUACAUGUCGAAGCUAGUGGGAGCAUAAGUGUUAUGUUUUAUAAUAAUCAUCAUGAUAGUGGGAGCAUAAAUGUUAUGAUUGUAUGAUUAUUAAGGCACGUAUUGCAAGUUGGCAAUAUUAAUUAUAGAAAACAAGAGUUAUACCUUGCAAAGUCGUAAGGGUUGUAAAGUUGUUUUGCUAUAAUUAAGGGAGAGAAUAUUAUGCUUCAUUUCAAAUCUAAAGGAUUAGGUUGAGAAAUGUUAAUAAAUUUAGUCAAAGGUACAUAGUGUGUUCUUAAAAUUUCGAUUAUGAUUACGGCAUUCCUCUUCACAAUUCGAAUUUUGAGAACAUAGCAAAUAAAACAUUAUGCGUCGUGUCCCAUACGCUUCGGGUAUAGGAUCGAUUGCAAAUGCUUUAAUGUUUGACCAUUCUAAAAUUUUCCAAAUGUCGAGCGCAUUUAGAGGGAAAAGGGACUAGAAUUGGUUUUGACUAAAAUAAUUAAACAACUAUCAAAGGACAAUCCAAAGUUCGACGAGGAUUGGUCGCUUGUGAGUAGUUGGAAGCAUGGUAUUGGAUGGACCAUAUCGACAUUAUUAUGAAUAGAAAAGAUUCUAUUAAGAAUGAGUUGUCAUAUGGAAAUUAUGGAAAUGUUUCCAUAUUGGAUGGACCAUAUCGACAUCAUUACGAAUAGAUAAGAUUCUAUUAAGAAUGAGUUGUCAUAUGGAAAAUAUGGAAGCGUGUCCAUAUUGGGAAUUGAAUAUUGAAAAUCUAUGUCUAGAUUAGAAACUUUUAUGCAAAAGGAUGUUCAAAGGAAUGUACUUUGAGUGAGAGACAUCAUAUCUAAGGAAUUGUCUUGUAACAAUCUCCGAUAGAGGACUUUGUAAUAUCAUUGGCAAUAGUCUUUGUGACUUUGGUGCAGUGACAUUACGAAAGGAUCAUUGCAUAGAAUGUUAGAAUCUAGCAUAUUUUAUAAGUAACAAGAAUUUGAUAUUCUCACACUUAUGAAAAAGGAUUUGGAGUUGUGAAAUGAGAAUGAUUGGAAAUGUGUUCAAUUUGAUCUAUUUCACAAAAGUAAGAACCAUAGGUAAACAUUGUGUGCAUGCUAAGAGCAUGGGACAAGU
rnacentral:lncRNA from 1 species